rnacentral:lncRNA from 1 species
AAGAAACUGCAGAGAAGGUAGUGUUGAGCACCUAGAGUAAGACAGGCCCCAGCGGGCGCCCACCUGUGUUCAUCAACCCUCUGGAUCCAUCCAGCCCCACGAGUGGCUUCAUCACGUACACCUCAGCCCCAUUCCGGGCACAGAGUAGACCAGUUGGAGAUUCAGUGCCAAGAUAACCAGUAGUGCAGCCAUGAAGUGCAACUUUGCUCUGCUGUGGCCUUCUGUGUGGCGUUUUGCCUUACAUCAGCACCAAAGCAGUGGAAUCAGCCAACCAUGAACUGAAACCAUGAGCCCAGAUGAAUCGUUCCUUGUCUGUCUUGAUUCAGCUGCCAUGAUUGGAAACAUCAGACCCUAAGAAGAGUGAAAAGGGUUGGUACCCAAGUUCCUGGAUGAUCUUUACCUGUGCUGAGAAAAGAUGGGAAUAUUCCUCCCCUUUAUUAGCCUAUGGCUCUCCUUCAUUAUUCCUGUCCUGUGUCUCUAACUCCUCAACCCCUCUGGGCUUGAGAAGUUGAUUUGCAACUAAAGCUCCCAGUUCUCCCUUCUUUGUCCAUUGAAUAAAACCUUUCUUUCUCC